rnacentral:rRNA from 1 species
UACGUAGGGUGCGAGCGUUAAUCGGAAUUACUGGGCGUAAAGCGUGCGUAGGCGGUUCGUUAAGUCUGUUGUGAAAGCCCCGGGCUCAACCUGGGAAUGGCAAUGGAUACUGGCGAGCUAGAGUGUGUCAGAGGAUGGUGGAAUUCCCGGUGUAGCGGUGAAAUGCGUAGAGAUCGGGAGGAACAUCAGUGGCGAAGGCGGCCAUCUGGGACAACACUGACGCUGAGGCACGAAAGCGUGGGGAGCAAACAGGA